CACUCUCGGCAAUGGAUAUCUUAGCUCUCGCAUCGAUGAAAAAUAUAGCGAUAUGCGAUACUUGGUGUGAAUUGCAGAAUCCCGUGAACCAUCGAGUCUUUGAACGCAAGUUGCGCCCGAAGCCAUUAGGCUGAGGGUACGUCUGCCUGGGCGUCA
rfam:Solanum tuberosum cultivar DM 1-3 516 R44 scf00868_2, whole genome shotgun sequence.